UAAACCCUUUAACGAGGAUCUAUUGGAGGGCAAGUCUGGUGCCAGCAGCCGCGGUAAUUCCAGCUCCAAUAGCGUAUAUUAAAGUUGUUGCAGUUAAAAAGCUCGUAGUUGGAUCUCGGGUCCAGGCUGGCGGUCCGGCGCAUGCCGGUUACUGCUUGUCCUGACCUACCUCCCGGUCGCGCCCUUGGUGCUCUUGAUUGAGUGUCUCGGGUCGCCGGAACGUUUACUUUGAAAAAAUUAGAGUGUUCAAAGCAGGCAAUUCGCCUGAAUAAUGGUGCAUGGAAUAAUGGAAUAGGACCUCGGUUCUAUUUUGCUGGUUUUCGGAGCUCGAGGUAAUGAUUAAGAGGGACUGACGGGGGCAUUCGUAUUACGGUGUUAGAGGUGAAAUUCUUGGAUCGCCGUAAGACGAACCGCUGCGAAAGCGUUUGCCAAGAAUGUUUUCAUUAGUCAAGAACGAAAGUCAGAGGUUCGAAGACGAUCAGAUACCGUCGUAGUUCUGACCAUAAACGAUGCCAACUAGCGAUCCGCCGGAGUUGCUUCAAUGACUCGGCGGGCAGCCCCCGGGAAACCAAAGUUUUUGGGUUCCGGGGGAAGUAUGGUUGCAAAGCUGAAA
rnacentral:rRNA from 1 species